CCUACGGGUGGCAGCAGUAAGGAAUAUUGGUCAAUGGGCGGAAGCCUGAACCAGCCAUGCCGCGUGCAGGAAGACGGCCUACGGGUUGUAAACUGCUUUUGCAGGGGAAUAUGUACUCUGAGAAUAAGGAUCGGCUAACUCCGUGCCAGCAGCCGCGGUAAUACGGAGGAUCCGAGCGUUAUCCGGAUUUAUUGGGUUUAAAGGGUGCGUAGGCGGCUUUUUAAGUCAGGGGUGAAAGACGGUAGCUUAACUAUCGCAGUGCCCUUGAUACUGAAGAGCUUGAAUGUAGUUGAGGUAGGCGGAAUGUGACAAGUAGCGGUGAAAUGCAUAGAUAUGUCACAGAACACCAAUUGCGAAGGCAGCUUACUAAGUUGAUUGACGCUGAGGCACGAAAGCGUGGGGAUCAAACAGGAUUAGAUACCCUGGUAGUC
rnacentral:rRNA from 1 species